rnacentral:misc_RNA from 1 species
ACCGAACCGAAGUUAUAUGAAAGGGUUAUGUACGAACCAACUACUUUACCCAACCCGCUGCCCCUCGCGCCCAGGCCAAAAAGUAAUCGUUAAGUAAUCGUUAACACCGCAGUUUGUGGCCAGUGACGUUAUGUAUGCUGCUCGUAGCUUUCUUCGCCCAACUCGGGUGACAAAUUGGAAAGUUUUAAAAAAAUAUUGCUCUGAAGUGCCUUCAACACCGAAGAGAAAAAGACGAACUUUGGCAGUACUGGGGAAGAUUAGUGGUGGUGUGGCCGUGGCUGUGCCGAUGACUGGUGGGAUCUACUAUGCUCUCAGUGAUGAUAUUACCAGACGGCAGACCACUGUCACUGUUCAGGGAAUUGGAAGAUUCUUCAGGACAUUGUGGAUUGGUAUGACUAUUUCACUCGACUACCAGUGGGCAACGUAUGGUAUUGAUGAAGGAAGUGAUGAAUAUGAAGAUGCACUAUCUAGAGUUCACCAGCGUUCUGCGGAGCGUGUAUUAAAAGGCUGUUUGAAGAAUGGAGGCUUGUACGUAAAGCUGGGCCAAGGUUUAGUGUCUAUGAACCAUGUGCUGCCUACUGAGUAUGUCAACACACUCAAGGCUCUACAAGACAGGUGCCUUAAUCGUAGGUGGGACGAGAUUGAUAUGCUCUUCCAAGAAGACUUUGGAUGUUCUCACAAAGAUAUGUUUAGAGAGUUUGAUGAUGAGCCAGUUGCUGCUGCUAGUUUAGCUCAGGUGUUUCGAGCCAGGACACACAGCGGGGAGGAAGUUGCUGUGAAAGUUCAGUACAUUGAUCUUCAGGAUCGCUUCAAGGGAGACAUAGCAACCAUAGAAUUGAUAUUAGAAAUUAUACAAAUCAUGCAUCCCAAGUUUUCCCUCAAGUGGGUUAUGAAGGACCUCAAAGGCACCCUGGAACAAGAGUUGGACUUCAUUAAUGAAGGACACAAUGGUGAACGUUGUGCAAAGGAUCUCUCAAAAUUGUCCUAUGUGUAUGUUCCAAAGGUUCACUGGGACCUUUGCAGUAAGCGAGUGUUAACCGCUGAGUAUAUACAUGGGCACAAAGUAAGUGACAUAGAAAGCAUCAAGAAGGAUGGGCUUACCUUGCAGGAUGUGGAUAAUAAACUUAUUAAUGCAUUUGCUGAACAGAUAUUUCACACUGGAUUUGUGCAUGCAGAUCCACACCCAGGCAAUGUUUUGAUUCGACGGGAUAAGCAUGGCAGAGCAGAGAUAGUUAUACUAGAUCACGGCUUGUAUCAGUAUCUCCCUACUUCAGUGAGGCAGCCACUUUGCCGGCUGUGGAAGGCCAUUGUCUUGGGAAAUCAUAAACAUAUGCAGGAAAAUGCUGCCCAGUUGGGUGUCACAGAUGGCUAUCGGUUCUUCUGCAUGAUGGUGGCGCAGCGGUAUGUUGCACCUUCGGGAUCAGACAAGUUUGAAAGUGAAUUCUUUGGACGUCAAGGCCCAAAACAGUUCAAUCGAAGCAAUUGGAAUAAAAUGAAGAAGGAAGAUAAAGACAAAAUGCAAAAGAGAAUGGAGGAAGCUCGUGAGAAGUUAAGCAAGUCUUUUGAACAUCUACCAACUGAACUCUUCUUUGUCUUGCGACUACUUGCUUUUUGCGGAAAUGCUUAUGCAGCACCCUGUUCAAGGUCAGAGUUUCCAGUUACUUAAAAAUGUAAUGAGUGCUGCUGACUUAGAGUACAUGCAGGAGAUGACAGCCGGCAGGUUCGAUCAAAUAAACAAGAUUCUGCGGGAAAUACCCAAGGAAAUGUUGUUGAUUAUACGGAAUGUAAACACAGUUCGCGCCAUCGCGAGGGAGCAUGGUGAUGUUGUUGACCGGUACACCUUAAUGGCUCGGUCGGCCACCAGGGGAGCAUUCGUGUCACAUGAUGCUACAUUCAGACAGAAGAUGCAAGGAUGGGUGGAACAGUUGUACUUCGAUUAUUCUCUCAA